CCUACGGGAGGCAGCAGUGGGGAAUAUUGGACAAUGGGCGCAAGCCUGAUCCAGCCAUGCCGCGUGGGUGAUGAAGGCCCUAGGGUUGUAAAGCCCUUUCGGCGGGGAAGAUAAUGACGGUACCCGCAGAAGAAGCCCCGGCUAACUUCGUGCCAGCAGCCGCGGUAAUACGAAGGGGGCUAGCGUUGCUCGGAAUCACUGGGCGUAAAGCGCACGUAGGCGGAUUGUUAAGUCAGGGGUGAAAUCCUGGAGCUCAACUCCAGAACUGCCUUUGAUACUGGCGAUCUUGAGUCCGGGAGAGGUGAGUGGAACUGCGAGUGUAGAGGUGAAAUUCGUAGAUAUUCGCAAGAACACCAGUGGCGAAGGCGGCUCACUGGCCCGGUACUGACGCUGAGGUGCGAAAGCGUGGGGAGCAAACAGGAUUAGAUACCCUAGUAGUC
rnacentral:rRNA from 1 species